CACAGUUCUGCACCGUCCAAUCCACCCUGGGCGAGGUGCACCGUUGAUUGAGUUAGGACAGCUCCCCAUCUCUUUCCACGUAUAUACAAUAGACCUCAUCAGCGCCUGGCUGUCUUUCCCUUUCCCCAUUCUUCCCCGAUUUCCUCUCACGCUCGUCAUCGAGUCUUCUCGCGUGCGAUUUGCUGGCGGUCAGGCGAUGGGGUUUCGGCGGCUGAAGCGAUGAUGGAGAGAGAGGUCCAGCACGGAGCGGCUCCUUGGGGGCGACGGAGGUAGGCAGCGGACGGGGCGGAGCUGUCGAGUUCACCAUCGAAUUCGCCAUGGGGUUUGCGAACUCCAUCGGUGAUGGCGGGUGUGGGGGCUUCUGCGUUUUGAAUCGAGGCUUCUGAGUUUUGAGUUGAUUAGGUGGUUCUCGAUGUGGGGUCGCCGGGCGAGGUAGUGAGCGCUUCACGGAGGGGGUUCCGCAUUCUGAAUCGGGGCGGCAGGCCGCUUCGCCCUGCCGAUGAAUUGACCACAGUUAGCGCAUCGAGUAUAUACUAUUGCAUCAAGUUUUACGGUUAGUUCCUUCUCACAUCCUCCCCCAAACCCUCUGAUCUAUCCUACCCCGUAAUAUUUUCUGUCGAUUUUUGGGGCUCUAGAUUCGCGCCAUGAUUCGAUUUGCUGCUGUGCUUUGUUGUAAAAUUAGAGCCGAAAUGCAGAUCAGGUCAAGGUUUUGCUAACUGUUUCACAUCAGACUGGUUAAUUUGAUGGGGUGAUAAGUAACUAUAGUAUCUAAAAUAGCUUGCUAUUUUUACUUCUGUCAUGAGGUAUGCUAUGCAAGUUUGCAUGCAAAAGCACCCUAAUUAUAUCUGCUGCAAUGCUCCAUGGCAAGGACUCUUUGUGUUUAUGGGUGUAAAUUCCCUAGGUAAUUCAUUUAUUUGUUGGUGAACUAUCGACUUGCGACUUGUUUUCUAGUACGAUAGUACCUAAUUGUUGGCUUCUGGUUCCUGGAUGUCGCAUGGCGUGGUGCUGGGAGCCUAGGGAACUGGGUUCGACCGGCAAAUCGAUCGCGAGAGGUGGAUCGUCGACUGCGGGGGCACGGGGCAGAACGAGCUCGACUGGCGCAUCGACCACAUCGAUUUUACGCACUAAGGUUGAAAGAAAUAGAGCAUCACAUAAUGUGAAUGUGAAGCAUCAUUUUGGGAUGGGCAAGCAAUUUUUUGAUGCAUGUUAAAGCAAGAAACGCCCGUUGGCAAUUGACCCGGCGGAUGCAACAAUGCAGAGCUUUUGUUGAAGGGUUGUCUCCUGUGGGUGUGUGCUCUUAAUCAUGUGUGUAUGUUUUGACAAACACAGUGCAUGAUCCUGACAUGCUGUCCCUUUUGUGUUGCUUGUGUUGCUACAUGCAACAAGCGGAGGAAAUGAAAACUGACAUAAGCAGACACAAGUUGCUUGCCUGAUCAUUUUUCUGCCUAGCUGCAGUACGCCCAGUUUUCUGGAAAACAUGCAAAAUUUUGUCCAAUUUUGUAUGUUUUGUGACCUCUAACCCACAUGUGCUCUUUGUGCUA